CCGUGCUAGGCGGGGAGUUAGCGGUGCCCUCUACCCGCAAUCCGCUAUAGCGGGGCAUCAAUUCCCACCUUCGGGGCAGAUCCGUAUGGACAGCUGGCCUUGCAGGCGGUGUUGAAGGCCAGGUCCUGCGCAAUGGAACGUCGUGAACCCCGUCAGGUCCGGAAGGAAGCAGCGGUAAGCGAUCUCUUCCAUGUGCCGCAGGGAAGCCUGACUGGAGCCGGCUGCCUGGUGCACGCAUGCGGGCCGGUUUCAACGGUGGGUGCACGG
rnacentral:SRP_RNA from 1 species